CCUACGGGGGGCUGCAGUGGGGAAUAUUGGACAAUGGGGGGAACCCUGAUCCAGCCAUGCCGCGUGUGUGAAGAAGGCCCUCGGGUUGUAAAGCACUUUCAGUGAGGAAGAACGCCUGGUGGUUAAUACCCAUCAGGUAAGACAUCACUCACAGAAGAAGCACCGGCUAACUCCGUGCCAGCAGCCGCGGUAAUACGGAGGGUGCGAGCGUUAAUCGGAAUUACUGGGCGUAAAGCGCGCGUAGGUGGCCUGAUAAGCCGGUUGUGAAAGCCCCGGGCUCAACCUGGGAACGGCAUCCGGAACUGUCAAGCUAGAGUGCAGGAGAGGAAGGUAGAAUUCCCGGUGUAGCGGUGAAAUGCGUAGAGAUCGGGAGGAAUACCAGUGGCGAAGGCGGCCUUCUGGACUGACACUGACACUGAGGUGCGAAAGCGUGGGUAGCAAACAGGAUUAGAUACCCCAGUAGUC
rnacentral:rRNA from 1 species